rnacentral:rRNA from 1 species
AUUGAACGCUGGCGGCAUGCCUUACACAUGCAAGUCGAACGGUAACGGGCCUUCGGGUGCCGACGAGUGGCGAACGGGUGAGUAAUGUAUCGGAACGUACCUUUCAGUGGGGGAUAACGUAGCGAAAGUUACGCUAAUACCGCAUAUUCUGUGAGCAGGAAAGCAGGGGAUCGCAAGACCUUGCGCUGAUUGAGCGGCCGAUAUCAGAUUAGCUAGUUGGUGAGGUAAAGGCUCACCAAGGCGACGAUCUGUAGCGGGGCUGAGAGGAUGAUCCGCCAAACUGGAACUGAGACACGGUCCAGACUCCUACGGGAGGCAGCAGUGGGGAAUUUUGGACAAUGGGGGCAACCCUGAUCCAGCCAUGCCGCGUGAGUGAGGAAGGCCUUCGGGUUGUAAAGCUCUUUCGGCCGGGAAGAAAUCGCACGGGCUAAUACCCUGUGUGGAUGACGGUACCGGAAUAAGAAGCACCGGCUAACUACGUGCCAGCCGCCGCCGUAAAAC